UAUUUACAUUUGUCCAGAAUUUCCUAUUUUUAUAAUUUUUUAAAAUGGGCGGUUGAGACAAUUUCUCCAAUUCCUGGCCUUGUAAUUCGCAAUUCAAGACACCUUCAAUUUUCCCCACCACCUCCGCCGCCGCUUCCACCACCGGGAAACUCCUCAAAACCUUCAUUUUCCCCCAGAACCACCAAAAAUCCAACCUCAACCGCAAAUUCCCACCCUAAAACCGUAAUCCCCACUUCCUCUGACCCAGAAAAAACCCUCUUCCUCGCUUAGAUUCACUCUCUCCCCUCCCUUCUUCCGCUAUUGCAGCAGCUUCUUCAAACAUUGGAAUAUGUGUAUGUGUUGCUUAUGCCCCCUCUUUUGAUUUUCCUUUUAUUGAUCAAUCUGUUUGUUUAGUAAACCUAGGACUUGUAAUUUUGAAAUGACAGUACUAUGUUACAAAUAUUAUAUUUUAGGGUUGACAAAGGAUGAAUUGUUUCUUCGUUAGUUUAUUCAUUAUUGAGCUUAAAAACCCAUAACCUAAGGUGGAAAAUCAAUACGUUAUUCUUGAAUUUGGGUAUCCAUUUCAUUUUGGCAUUCAAUGUAAUUGGUAUAGAGAGACAUCUAUGAAAUGAUUAAUCAAUCUUGCAACUAUCCCUAGGUGUAUUUGGAUUAGGAUUUUCAUUCUAAUUUUAGAUCAGGGUUUCAAUUAUAGUUAGUGAAAUCAUCUUUAUGAAUAGCUUUGUGAGUAUAAUUUUAUAUUUGAAUAUAUGGAAUGCAAUCUAUAUCAUUUAAUGAAGGAACGACAGAGAUGAUGAAAGACUUUACAGUUUCUCAUCUAUAGAGAUGAUGAAAGACUUUAUAGUUUUUAACCUGUACUGGAAUGCAAUCUAUAUCAUUUAAUGAAGGAACGACAGAGACCUUUUCGGAACAAGAUAAGAAACCUCUUGACCCAGGUUCUUCAAGGGCUGGCACACUUGCAUAGGAAUGAAUACUUUCAUCGGGAUCUAAAACCUGAGAAUCUUUUGGUAACGAAUGAUGUGAUCAAAAUUGUUGAUUUUGGACUCGCCAGGGAGCUUUCAUCAAUGCCUCCUUGUACUAAUUAUGUUUCAACACGCUGGUACCGGGCCCUAGAAGUUCUCUUAAAGUCUUCAACUUACACUCCUGCAAUUGAUAUGUGGGCAAUUGGUGCAGUCAUGGCUGAACUUUUAACCGUGUGUCCUAUUUUCCCUAGAGAAGUGCUGAUUAUAUAGACUAUAGCUUGGCAGAUCCUGGAUCAAGUCCUUGGAUGAGCAACUGGUGCAUACAGACCACAAACUCACAAUUAGGUAAUAAUUGAUUUGUGCAUGAUGGAUCUAACUUAGCAUCUGAUCCAUUUCUUACUGACAUAUUAUUUGGUUACCACUUGACCUUAUACAAGCAUAGUCUGAUCCGAGGUGGAGAAUUUAGUGUAAUGCUGUUGAAUUUCAAUCUUCCAGAAAGCUGCUACUGCUACUUUCCAUGUUGAUGGGUUUGAUUCUACUCUCAAGAUAUCCAAUUCCAUGCAUAUAUGAUCAAUUUGUUUUGUUGUUUAUUUACUUAUGGUCUUAAGAUUUUUCUAUUUACUUCAAUCAUAUAGUUUUGAGAUUUUUUUUUUUAAACUUAUUCAAUCAAUCAUGAGAAUGAUGCAUUUGAUCGUACGGGAUGGAGGAGGAAGAUUUUUGUGGAUGACUAUACGGAAUAAUCACUUUUGUUUCAUGUAGCCGACCCCACUUAUAAGGCUUUGAUUGAUUUAUUAAUGCUAUUACCUUAUCAGGCAUAUCCUAUAAUUAUUUCACAUAGCAGCCAUGUCAUAUUCUAUAACCUUAGAUGAUAUAAGUGAAGAGAGAGAUAAGGUAUGAAGUCAUAAAAAAAGGGAGCAAGGAGAAGAGGGGGGAGAAAGAUUGAGAAAGAGAAAGAGAAAGAGAAAGAGGGAGUUUGAGGAAAUAGAGGAAGGAGGGAGAAUAUUUUUUUAAAGUUUGGGUAAGGAGACGAUAGUAUUAUUUUAAACCCUUUCCCCUAUGCCAAAUUAUAGCUUUUAUAGCCUUUUUUUUUUUUUUUUUUUUUUGUUUUACAGUGGUUUUGCUUGCCAUGACUGCUAUUAAUAUAGUUGAAAAGGUUGAAUUAUAGCGGUUAAAGAAAAACGCUACAUUAAUGACAUAGGUUCUCUCAUAACCGCUAUUAAAGCCCUCUUUUAUUAAACCCCUCUUCUGAUCCUCAGCCAAACCAGAAUGCAAGUUUUUGAGUAAUUUGUGUGUUAGUUAUAAUCUGUUGAUAAUUUGAUUUCCUGGAAGCUACAAUUGUAAAGACAUUACUGUUGUAGCAAUGAGGUGUUUUGAUUGGUUUCUUGUUGGACUUUUUUGAAUCUUGAGUGUUUGUUGGAGUCAAUGAAAUAAUAUUGUUGUUCUGAAUAUGAAAAAAGAAUGGAUAAUGGGGAGCUGAACUGCUAAUGUACCUUAUAGAUGGAUAUAUAACUGUGAUGUUCGUUAUAAUUCACAGUAGAGGCCUGUAGUCGAAAGGAAUUAGAGUGCAGUUCAUGAAUCGUGAAUAGGCCCUAAAAGCUUCUAAUGUAUCUUAGUGAGCAAAAUGUGUGCUUCUAUAUGAUCUGGAAUCCAUGCGCUUACUUGUUGAGUGACUUGUUUGUAAUCAUUUUGUAAAUCAACUUUCUGAUUCUCACUUCACUGUCUCCACUGCUUCUGUGUUGUGUGGAUGACAGGCAAAUGAAGCAACUGAGCUAGCAAUAAGGACAAUAUACAGUUGAUGGAGAUUGAGUUUCCAACUUCUGGACUACAAUCAGUGCAGGUUUUACAUAUAUUCUUUGUCUGGUAUAUGACCCAUCUCCCUUUCUCCGUCCUUAUGUCCAUCAAUUACUCUGAAUGUACCAGCUGGUUUAAAUGUAUAAUUUUAUGAUCCCUGGCUCGGGUGAUGGUGAAGGGGUACAGAAAUGACUGAGAAGCAUGCAGUUGAUCCGAGUUCUGUGACCGCCUUGUAGCUGCAGAAAAAAGCUACCAGGACCAGGAUAGUUUGAAUGUUUCUGUAAAAUUAUAUGUAUUCUCCUUUUCAUAUAAUAUUUGGGGUCUGUAUUGCUUGAAUUAUUCAUGUGCAUACUUCAUUCUAAAUAUUUCUUAAUCUUCUAA